GGGCACAUGGUGUAGUUGGUUAUCACAUCCGCUUAGCAUUUCUAGCUUCGUGUGUUGUGUUAUGUUGUGCGGGGGGUGCUGGGUUCAAUUCCCAGUGUGUCCA